rnacentral:lncRNA from 1 species
UAUAUACAUAUAGAAAGAGAGAGAGAGAUAUGAGUAUAGAGCCCUUCGUACUCAUAAGUUGUUUUGAUGUUGGGAUUUUCAAAUGGACGAUCCACACUGUUAUCUAUGAUCUAAAGUAUUUGAAACUUUUAGAAAAUAAAUUUCGUAAUUUUUCAAAAUCAUUAUAAAGUCCAUCAAGUGGGUAUAAAAUGAAAAGUCAAAAUCAAACGUCAUCCUAAAAAUGGGUGAUCAGAUCCUUUAAUUUAAGAUCGGAGUUAUUGAUUUUUAUCUAGGUAGUGAAUAGAAUUUUCUAUCAAAAAUUCAACCUAUUCCGAUUCUUUUACACCGUUAAAUUAGCAAGUAUCUCAUACCGGCCGUUAAAAAUUUUUAAUUUUGCAAGCUUUUGAUUGUAAGGUAAAUGACAUCAAAAAAUUAUAAAUUUUGAUUUCUAAAAGUUUUAAAUAUUCUAGAUAAUAUUUAACGGUAUGGAUCGUCGAUUCGGAAGCUCUAUCAUCGAAAAUAACUUAUGAGUACAAAUGCGAUCGUACUCAUAAGAGUAUAGUAGCCGGACUCUCUCUCUCUCUCUCUCUCUCUCUAUAUAUAUAUAUAUAUAGUUCGGCUGAGAUACUAUCGAUAGCACCAAGAGCUUGGUGCUAUCGAGUUUAAUUUUACAUCGUUAAAUUUAAUUCUUUAAUUAUUUUUAACCGUUAGAUUAUACUAUUCAACCAACCACCCACUCAACCCUAAGGCAUCAUGUCAUCCUAAUCGCACAUUUCUCAAUCCAAAGGCUAAAAAAUUAAUAGUAACAAUAGCUUAAUGCUAUUAAUAGUAUUCCAGUCUAGUUCUAUCUAUGUGUGUGUGGGCGCGCGCGCAUACAUAACACUAUAGUGCGAGU